rnacentral:rRNA from 1 species
ACGAACGCUGGCGGCGCGCUUAAUGCAUGCAAGUCGAGCGGUGUUCUGCCCGCAAGGGCGGAGCGCAGCGGCAGACGGCUGAGUAACGCGUGAGUGACCUGCCCCGGAGCGCGGAAUAACCCGCCGAAAGGCGGACUAAUGCCGCGUACGUUCGGCAGCAUAGAGGCUGCCGAGGAAAGGAACGGGGUAACCCGUUCCGCUCUGGGAGGGGCUCGCGUCCUAUCAGGUAGUCGGCGGGGUAACGGCCCACCGAGCCUAAGACGGGUAGCCGGAGUGAGAGCUUGUACGGCCAGAGGGGGACUGAGAAACGGCCCCCACUCCUACGGGAGGCAGCAGCAGGGAAUCUUGCACAAUGGGCGAAAGCCUGAUGCAGCGACGCCGCGUGAGGGAUGAAGGCCUUCGGGUCGUAAACCUCUUUUCUCAGGGAAGAGUAAGGACGGUACCUGAGGAAUAAGCAACGGCUAACUACGU